rnacentral:lncRNA from 1 species
AGGGGGACCUUCCCCAAUAGGGCGUAGACCCAGCGAACCAGGGUGUGUUAGUAGCUCCCAUGGUACCUAGGGUCAAAUGGAGCCCUUCAUCUAGGGCAGAGACCGCUCAAACCAGAGUGUCAUGGGGAGCUCUCACAGCACCCAGGGUCGAUGUGAUCCCUCUUCUAGGGCAAAGACCUCCUCCAAUCAGGGUUUGGGAGGAGCUCCCACCACACCCAGGGUGGAGGGCCCCCCCAUUUAGGGUGGACACUAUUCGAACCUGGGUGUGGGGGCAGCGACCACCGCACUCAUGGUUGAAGGUACACCUGUCUAGGGGGAAGACCCCUCGAAUUGGGGUGUGAGAAGGAGCAUCCAGGGUCAAGGGGACGCCCCCCCUAGGGGGAAGAACCCUUGAACCAGGGUGUCAGAGUGAGCUCCCACUGCACCUAGGGUCGAGGGGAUCCCCCUUCUAGAGCUGAGACCCCUCAAACUGGGUUAUGGGGGAGCUCCCACAGCACCAAGGGUUGAGGGGACUCACCCUCUAGGGGAGAGAACCCUCGAACUGGGUGUCGUGGGGAGCUCCCACUGAACCCAGGGUGGAGGGAACACUCCCCACGAGGGGUGACAACCCUUCAACCGGGAUUUUCCAGGGAGCUCUCUCUGCAAAGCCCUGCCUUCCCGGACUGGAGUUUCCUGCUCUCCCCUGGCCUGGGCCCUCUCCUAGGUCCCUUGCCUGAGCUCCUUGCUGGGGUCCUGGCCCCCACCCCACUCACACCAGUCCUGAGGCAUUUCAGGCUGUGCCCUGCUUUGGCCCUCCUGUCCUUUCUGACUGUGCCACACCCGCUUUCCUGAUCCUCUUCCCAGGAUGCUCACGGGGGUGGGGGGUGACUUGACCUUGCCUCUUGGCCCUAGGGGCUCCCUUUGGAAAACUAGCCCUGCCCCUUGCCUGGGCCCUUUGACCUCCCUCAGCCCAGGCCCUGCUCCUGACCCCUGAUACCCUGCAGUGGACCUGGGCCAGGAGCCCUUCUCCCCCUGUACCACCCACUCCACUUUCUCCCUCCCUUCUUGUUGCUCACCCUCCAUGUUUCUUUUCAUUUACCCAGGCCGAGGUGCUAGCACUUGGCUCUCCAUUACAGGACCUGGCUCCUUGCUUGAGACCCUGGCUACCCA